GAUGAACGCUGGCGGCGUGCCUAAUACAUGCAAGUCGAGCGAACAGACGAGGAGCUUGCUCCUCUGACGUUAGCGGCGGACGGGUGAGUAACACGUGGAUAACCUACCUAUAAGACUGGGAUAACUUCGGGAAACCGGAGCUAAUACCGGAUAAUAUAUUGAACCGCAUGGUUCAAUAGUGAAAGACGGUUUUGCUGUCACUUAUAGAUGGAUCCGCGCCGCAUUAGCUAGUUGGUAAGGUAACGGCUUACCAAGGCAACGAUGCGUAGCCGACCUGAGAGGGUGAUCGGCCACACUGGAACUGAGACACGGUCCAGACUCCUACGGGAGGCAGCAGUAGGGAAUCUUCCGCAAUGGGCGAAAGCCUGACGGAGCAACGCCGCGUGGAUGAUGAAGGUCUUCGGAUCGUAAAACUCUGUUAUUAGGGAAGAACAAAUGUGUAAGUAACUAUGCACGUCUUGACGGUACCUAAUCAGAAAGCCACGGCUAACUACGUG
rnacentral:rRNA from 1 species